ensembl:snRNA U2 U2 spliceosomal RNA
AUCGCUUCUCGGCCUUUUGGCUAAGAUCAAGUGUAAUAAAUCUCAUUGUGCUUUAUGCCUAAUGUGUGCUUAUAUUAAACUGAUUUAUACAUAGGAGAUAAGGUGUUAUAAUCCUAGUGGACAGUAGUAUUCAUAAUGUGCUUUUA